CGCGUAGGUGGUUCGUUAAGUUGGAUGUGAAAUCCCCGGGCUCAACCUGGGAACUGCAUUCAAAACUGUCGAGCUAGAGUAUGGUAGAGGGUGGUGGAAUUUCCUGUGUAGCGGCGAAAUGCGUAGAUAUAGGAAGGAACACCAGUGGCGAAGGCGACCACCUGGACUGAUACUGACACUGAGGUGCGAAAGCGUGGGGAGCAAACA
rnacentral:rRNA from 1 species